GUAGUAGAGUGUAGACCAAAGUUAGGUUUGAUAAAUGGAUGCACUCUAUUUCUAUCUCAAAAAAUGUCAGAGAUAAAUAAAGAAAAUCCUUGAACCUCUUAUGCUAGGUGCCUCUGUUUCAACGCCAAAAAAUCAUCAUCAUGUCUCACUAUUAUGUUCUCUAUCACCAUCAUUUCCCUUUAGGUCACAACCACCCCACAAACCUAAAAGCACCAUCAUUACUACCACAACUCAUCACAAUCACCAAAACAAUAAAACAAGUUUCUGACUGAAGAUUGGUACACUAUGUACUUUCAUUCAUUCUCAAACUCUCUUUCAAGAUCUUUUAUGGGGAAUCAAGCAUCUUGGUCCGAUUCAUAAUUAAUUUGCCACAUCAAGCAAGUUAAUUUCACUCUACUUUAUUAUUAUAGCUCUUUAGUGGAUCUUUCUUUUUUCUAAUCUUUUUCUUCACGUUGGUUAAGUUUUUUUUUUUUCAAGUAAAGUUUAUGAAUCUAGAGAUGUCUAGGGUUUAUGUAUGUUGUUGUAUUCAUGAAAAGUGAUGCAAACUUGUUAUCUUUUUAUAUGUUCUUAAUUUGAGCUAUGCUAUUAUAAGUAUUUUGAUUUUCCAUCCCUUGUUUGUAUUAAACUCUCUUAAUUUAUAUUUUUGUUUAUGGUGGUUCAUAUA